rnacentral:rRNA from 1 species
UUGUCCUACGGGAGGCAGCAGUGAGGAAUAUUGGUCAAUGGGCGGGAGCCUGAACCAGCCAAGUCGCGUGAGGGAAGACGGUCCUAUGGAUUGUAAACCUCUUUAGGCGGGGAGCAAUGCCGGGCACGCGUGUCCGGAGGGAGAGUACCCGCAGAAUAAGCAUCGGCUAACUCCGUGCCAGCAGCCGCGGUAAUACGGAGGAUGCGAGCGUUAUCCGGAUUUAUUGGGUUUAAAGGGUGCGUAGGCGGUCCGGAAAGUCAGCGGUAAAAGCCCGGGGCUCAACCCCGGCGAGCCGUUGAAACUGU